UCAGGGGGUAGUCCUGCUCGAUUUGAGGUCAAUGUGUAAAAGGCGCCCGAGGGGCGUUUGUGGUAAGCUCGUCCCGACUUGGCGUUCCCAUUGAAAAGUGGUAAAACUUAUGACAACAGGUCAAGCCGCCAGUACAAAAGGUACAGCUUGUUGUAUUUCAACGGAGUCUCUUGGCAAGAAGAGACAAGCCCGUCACGAUCCAACCCUGACGGCCCGGUAUGAAUGGGCGGGGUUGAGAGGGUACGCGACACUCAAACGAACAUGCUCCCAGGAAUGACCCGAGAGCGCAAGGUGCGUUCAAAGAUUCGAUGAUUCACUGAAUUCUGCAAUUCACAUUACAUUUCGCGCUUUGCUGCGUUCUUCAUCGAUGCGAGAGCCA
rnacentral:misc_RNA from 1 species